GGAAUCUGCAAUGCGAUCGCAAAAACUAGAUUUACCUACUAGAAUAACCACCAUGGCUGCCCCCUGCACUGAAAACAAUCACAAACAAGGCACACUGGAAUUUGCUCUGGACGUCCCGUUCCAAUCAACUCGCGAAGCGUCCAUCGCGCUCCAGUCCCUCUCCCCUGACCGCGAGCCCCGGAAAGGAGGCAUCAGCAAGGAGCUCACGGUUUCCGGUAGCACGCUGUCUGUGAGGUGGAGGGCAGUAUCCUGCCUGUCACUGUAGGGUCGUUUAUGAACCACCUGUCCCUGGCGAUGGAAACCAUGGAGUUGUUCGGGCCACCUGUCCCUGGCGAUGGAAACCAUGGAGUUGUUCGGACCACCUGUCCCUGGC